rnacentral:tRNA from 1 species
GGUAGGGUGGCCGAGAGUUAGGCGGCGGAUUGUAGCUCCGUGAACAAAGGUUUAAAUCCUUUCCCUAUCACA